rnacentral:tRNA from 1 species
GUUUUUAUAAUUUAAAAAAAAAUAUUGAUUUUGUAAUUCAAAAAUAAGUUUCACUUUAAAAACU